UGCAGUCGAGCGAACAGAUAAGGAGCUUGCUCCUUUGAAGUUAGCGGCGGACGGGUGAGUAACACGUGGGUAACCUACCUAUAAGACUGGGAUAACUUCGGGAAACCGGAGCUAAUACCGGAUAACAUUUAGAACCGCAUGGUUCUAAAGUGAAAGAUGGUUUUGCUAUCACUUAUAGAUGGACCCGCGCCGUAUUAGCUAGUUGGUAAGGUAACGGCUUACCAAGGCGACGAUACGUAGCCGACCUGAGAGGGUGAUCGGCCACACUGGAACUGAGACACGGUCCAGACUCCUACGGGAGGCAGCAGUAGGGAAUCUUCCGCAAUGGGCGAAAGCCUGACGGAGCAACGCCGCGUGAGUGAUGAAGGGUUUCGGCUCGUAAAACUCUGUUAUUAGGGAAGAACAAAUGUGUAAGUAACUGUGCACAUCUUGACGGUACCUAAUCAGAAAGCCACGGCUAACUACGUGCCAGCAGCCGCGGUAAUACGUAGGUGGCAAGCGUUAUCCGGAAUUAUUGGGCGUAAAGCGCGCGUAGGCGGUUUCUUAAGUCUGAUGUGAAAGCCCACGGCUCAACCGUGGAGGGUCAUUGGAAACUGGGAAACUUGAGUGCAGAAGAGGAAAGUGGAAUUCCAUGUGUAGCGGUGAAAUGCGCAGAGAUAUGGAGGAACACCAGUGGCGAAGGCGACUUUCUGGUCUGUAACUGACGCUGAUGUGCGAAAGCGUGGGGA
rnacentral:rRNA from 1 species